ensembl:snRNA U2 U2 spliceosomal RNA
AUCGCUUCUCGGCCUUUUGGCUAAGAUCAAGUGUAGUAUCAAUCAAACACCUGUGUAGUUGGUCUGUGACCACACAUCCAAGGCUGGGAAGUGACAGUUCCUGAGGGUUACUGCUUAUUCACACAGGAGCUGGUAACCCCUUCAUGU